GCCAGGCGGGGGUGCCAGGGACUGGGUGCCGGUGGGGUCCGCUGCGGAUACCGGGGGCGGGCAGCUGGGACUCAGGGCCCCAGGCCCUCGGGGCUGUGGGGCCGCCUCCCCCAAACGCGCCUUAAGCGGUUUUGCAGUGGCUUUCCGCCUGAGGGCUGGGAGGCGCCCCGGCCCUGAGUCAGUCACCCUUUGGCCGGGCAGGCGAUUCCCGGGCGCAGAGGAUGGAAACGUGGCGGUAACCUCUGCAGGUCGUGCCACUCGCUGUGCGCCAGGCCUCCAGAGGCAUCCUUUCAUUUUUAGGGGGGCACUUUCCACGAAUUCAUUUGAGCUACACAGCAGUGCUGGGCAGUGGGGAAUGGUGAGCUCCAUUGUGUACACUUGGAAGCAGCCCAGAAAGGUGAAGACCUGUUCGUGAACUCCAGAGACCAUUGGAAGCGUGGAAGGCUAUGGCUGGCACUCUUCCUCUUUUUCCAGUUCGCGGAGGCAGAUGGGAGGCCCGGAGGAGAAAGAAUGAAGGAAGGCAUUUCAGCCCGAGUAAACUCUCCAGGCCCCCUCUGUGCCAGGCAGUGUUGCAAGCCUCAGCUUCUAGCACAGUGCUUUGUGCACAGUAAACACUCCAGCGGCUGUUGACCAAUGAAUGAAUGAAGAUUGUAGGCUCAAAUAUUCAAGUUAUCAAAGUGCAAAGAAUGAGAGGUUGUUUGCACUGGACUUCAAAAAUAAAUAGCCUGGACCCGUACUGUCUUACACAACGGCUAUGAGCUACUGGUAUGUGGCUAGUCCAAACUGAAAUGCCCUUUAAGAGUAAAACACACACUGGAUUUCAAAGAAUUGGUACAAAGAAAAAAUGCAAAAUAGCUCAUUAGUAAUUUUUAUGUUAAUGACAUGUUGAAAUAACAUUUUGAUAUAUUGAGUUAAGUAAAAUAUAGUAUUAGAAUUAA